AACGAACGCUGGCGGCAUGCCUAACACAUGCAAGUCGAACGAGACCUUCGGGUCUAGUGGCGCACGGGUGCGUAACGCGUGGGAACCUGCCCUUAGGUUCGGAAUAACUCCCCGAAAGGGGUGCUAAUACCGGAUAAUGUCUUCGGACCAAAGAUUUAUCGCCUUUGGAUGGGCCCGCGUUGGAUUAGCUAGUUGGUAGGGUAAAAGCCUACCAAGGCGACGAUCCAUAGCUGGUCUGAGAGGAUGAUCAGCCACACUGGGACUGAGACACGGCCCCGACUCCGACGGGAGGGAGGAGUUGGGAAUAUUGGAACAUGGGGCAAAGGCCGAACCAGCAAUGGCGGGGGAGGGAUUAAGGCCUUUGGGUUGUAAAGCUCUUUUACCCGGGAUGAUAAUGACAGUACCGGGAGAAUAAGCUCCGGCUAACUCCGUG
rnacentral:rRNA from 1 species